rnacentral:rRNA from 1 species
AGUCGACGAGGUUUGAUCAGUUUGCGGUGGUGCUUGCAUCACCAAUUACCCAUAUAACCGAGUGGCGGACGGGUGAGUAACACGUGGGUAACCUGUUUCUUCAGCAGGGGAUAACAUUUGGAAACAGAUGCUAAUACCGUAUAACCACGGAGACCGCAUGGUCUCCGGGUAAAAGAUGGAGAAAGCUAUCACUGAGGGAUGGACCCGCGGCGUAUUACCCAGUUGGUGGGGUAGUGGCCUACCAAAGCGAUGAUACGUAGCCGACCUGAGAGGGUAAUCCGCCUCCUUGGGACUGACACACGGCCCAAACUCCUACGGGAGGCAGCAGUGGGGAAUCUUCCACAAUGGACGCAAGUCUGAUGGAGCAACGCCGCGUGAGUGAAGAAGGCUUUCGGGUACAACCACUCUGUUACUGAAGAACAGCGUGUGAGAGAAUCACUGCACAUGCCAUGACGGUAUACAACGACAAAAUCAGGGAUAGCUACGCGCCAUCCUCCGCGGUAAUACACAUGUGGCACGCGUUGUGCGGAUUUCCUGCGCGUCCAGCGAGUGUCGGCCUUUUUGUCGGUCUCAUC